rnacentral:rRNA from 1 species
UGGGUAACCUGCCUUAUAGUGGGGGAUAGCCUUUCGAAAGGAAGAUUAAUACCGCAUAAGAUUAUAGUAUCGCAUGAUAUAGCAAUUAAAGGAGCAAUUCGCUAUAAGAUGGACCCGCGUCGCAUUAGCUAGUUGGUGAGGUAAUGGCUCACCAAGGCGACGAUGCGUAGCCGACCUGAGAGGGUGAUCGGCCACAUUGGGACUGAGACACGGCCCAGACUCCUACGGGAGGCAGCAUG